GUCCACGCUGUAAACGAUGAAAACUAGAUGUUGGUGAGCAUGACUCAUUAGUAUCGAAGCUAACGCGAUAAGUUUUCCGCCUGGGGAGUACGGCCGCAAGGUUAAAACUCAAAGGAAUUGACGGGGGCCCGCACAAGCGGUGGAGCAUGUGGUUUAAUUCGAUGCAACGCGAAGAACCUUACCUACCCUUGACAUCCUAAGAAUCUGGUAGAGAUAUCGGAGUGCCGAAAGGAAUUUAGAGACAGGUGCUGCAUGGCUGUCGU
rnacentral:rRNA from 1 species